AGAGUCGCUUAUCACGAUUAUACGUUCCGUUCCACAGCACCAAACGAGGAGGAGAAGGAGCCUGAUGACCCGGAGUACUACGCUGAGCUUGGGAGUGACUAUUCAGGUGAGGAGGAGUAUGACUACUCUGGUGAUGACUACGCAACUAGAGGGUUCAUCCUACGCACAAGUUUGGAGAUGGAGUUUCCUGAAGAUGCUUCCGCUACCCCGAUGCUUUUCUGCUUGCAUUAGAGUCUGAUGAUUCUACCAAGUGGCGAUGUAAUAAUUUAAACCCUGCUAUUGUACUCUUUUUAUUCGUACAUGCACUUUAUAUCGACUGUAAUAUGGAUAAUUUGAUGGAAUGAACUUCGGUGACCAUCA